rnacentral:sRNA from 1 species
GCUGGGCAUGGUGGCACAUGCCUGUAAUCCCAGCUUGGGAGGCUGAGGCAAGAGGAUCAUGAGUUCAAAGCCAGCCUCAGAGAGUUAGCAAGGCCCUAAGAAAUUGUGUGAGACCCUAUCUCUA